UACAUGUGGGGCAAGCGUUGUUCGGAAUUACUGGGCAUAAAGGGUGCGUAGGUGGUUUGUUAAGUCAGGGGUGAAAUCCCGCGGCCCAACCGUGGAACUGCCUUUGAUACUGGCGAACUUGAGUGCGUGAGGGGUAGGGGGAACGAGCAGUGUAGCGGUGAAAUGCGUAGAUAUUGCUCGGAAGGCCAGAGCCGAAGGGGCCCUACUGGUGCGCAACUGACACUGAGGCACGAAAGCGUGGGGAGCUAACAGG
rnacentral:rRNA from 1 species